rnacentral:lncRNA from 1 species
GGGCCGAUAUAAACUCAGGCCUAAAAUUUAUACCCAAGCCCACCCAUGAGCAAGCACUGGGCCUGGCUUUUCCGGCCGAGCUAAACUUUAGCCGUGUCGGGCUUUAGCAUGCCAGGCUCGAUCGGGCUAGGCCGGACCAGAUUUUGCUCAGAUCUGAUUUUUACAAACACAUUGUGUUUUUGUUUCCUCUCUUAUCUUCCCUCUCUCUUUUUUUCUACAAC